GCGGCCCGGAGGCGAUCUGUGCGCGAGGAGGCGCUGUGAAGACUGAGGCACAGCCCCUCCGAGGAAAGCCGAGAUUGUACGUUUCCUUGCCGGCUGAGCCGCGGCUCGUCCCCCGGAGCGACACAAAGAAGAAGUGGCCUUGCAUCCUGCUCCGCCUCCCGAGCCGGGUCCUUGGUCCCCGGAAGCCCUGGGCUGCCCCACUGGAGUUACCUUCUGUGCGUUCUCUCCUAAACCUACACGUUAUUCACGACUUUGUUCAUGACUAUGGAAAACAAAACAAAAACAAAAACCAAACCAAAGUUCCCUCGCCUGGCGAUGGUGCAAGCCUGUCUACCUGCUGGAGGAUGGGAAGACCAAACCAAGAAUUAAACAACCACUCUAGUCUGAACUCAGCACCACUGCAGAGAAUCUGCUGGUCCCUAUACAACCAUCCUGUGGGAAGUAGAUUACCCACUUACCGAGCUCCACCCACCGUGUAAGGUGCUCUCUCCCCACACCUGUGCUUCUGGGCUACCUACUGCAUUAACACAAACCACAGCAAAAGGAAAAUAAAACAAUUUAGCAAAAAUCUAAACAUUCAACUGGAGUCGGUUCUGUGACAUCUGCUGGGCAUUUCCUUUGUCCUUUGAAUAGGUUGGAAUGUGCACACCUGGCUCGACCAAAAGAGGCACAGCUUAGGGGCGGCUUGGACCCAGCUCAAGUCUGGACUUGGCAGCUUUCCUGAGCCUGCCUAGGAAAGCAGGCUGGAGUGCAGGUGUCCCAGGGCUCUCUGGAGGAGCAGCAGCAACACCAUGCCUGGCUCUGGUGCCUUGGUCUCCUCGGAGAGGACGCUUGAAGGAAUGGCACUCAGCAGAGUACAGGCCCCGUAACAGUGCAGCGCAGCGACAUCCGCUGAGGACUGGACAGAAUGGUCCUGAUGCUUGGCAGUGAUCCGUACUUGGAUAACCCUCUGCAUGAAAGGGCAGUGAGCCAGGAACCUCAAGCCACCCGGGAGCAGGUGCCUACUUGGCGUUUUCUGAGACGAAAGGCAGCGGAGUGUGUAGCAAAGGUGGCGCUGGCUCUUGCUGCUUCUGAAGCUCCAUCUCGGCAGCCCUCUGCAGCGCCACCUCCACCAGCAACUGGAAGCUGCUGAAGUCAUCCUUGUCCUGCUCUGGGGGUGUGGGUGGUGGCGUAUUGAAGAGUCCACCCGUGGGGCUUCCAGCCUCUGCCCUAGUCAGCAGGGGUCACUGUAAAGCUCUGGCUGUUCUGGAACUCACUAUGUAGACCAAGGUGGCCUCAAAUGCUUCUUCUCCCUGAUUCCCAGGAUUAAAGCCACCAUGCUUGGGCUGGAGAGAUGGCUCACUGAUGUAAGAGCACUGAUUGCUCUUCCAGAGGUCCUGAGUUCAAAUCCCAGCAACCACGUGGUGGCUCACAACCAUCUAUAAAAAGGAUCUGAUGCCCUCUUCUGGUGUCUGAAGACAGCUACAGUGUACUCAUAUAAAUAAAAUAAAACUUAAAAAAUAAAAAAGC